UCUGUCUCCAAGGCUGCCUGCUCCACUCGCUCUGAGCCUGCAGGGAGCGGCAACAGAGUCUUUCCUUGGACUUGUCCUGACACCACAAACACAUUGGUUUUAAGGGAGUGUACAUGGCGUCUGAUGUCCUGGGACACCACCUGUGGCCAUUCGGCAUGGUUCCUGCGGUUAGACAGCAGCGGGGCCACCACCUGGAGGACAGUGAGGAUUAGGAGUUUAUUCAACAGCUCUCAGAUGUGUAAGCGCUCCAGCAUGAGAGCAGUGAUCUGGAUUCAGCUCAGGAGGAGUAACAAUGUUGGUAUUUGUCCUAGAGUAUCCAUCAACACAAACUCCCCCCUGUAAAAUAAAACUGAACUGAGUUCACAGCUUGGAACAUGUCCGAGGAUUAAAAGAGAGGAACGUAUACAACA